ACAAGUCCGAGAUGGCGGAGAGGGACAGUGGGGCCCCCGCUGGCUUCCCGUCCGCUGUGUUUUGAUCAAAGCCCUGGUUCUCGGUCCCUUCUGUGUGCAGCCAGAUGAAAGGCAUUGUUGGGCACCUGUUUGCAAAGAAGUGGUGUUUCCUCACAGGACGGCUCACCCACGCCUGGGACCGCUCAGUAGGGACGAGACUGACAAGUCCACCCACAAGUUCAGGGACCCAUUCUGCUCUCCCAGGUGACUCCUCGAAGCAACCACUCAGAGAUCCAGAAUCGUCCCAUCAUCUGGCUCCACCAUCUUGGAGAUGGCCAAGUGACAGUGUAGAAGAUUGCAUGUAGGAUAUUUGCUGGAAAUGGCUUCCCUCAUUCUGCCUUUAUGCCAUUGGCCAAAACCUAGUCACAUGGACCCACCAGAUGCAAGAAAGGCCAGGAAAUGUAAUCUUCUUAUGUGCCCAGGAGGAAAAUGGAAGUCUGAUGACCACAUAGCAUUGUUUCUGCUGCAAGUAUCAUUUCCUCAGUUGGCAGUCCUUACCUUUCAAUCACGUACUCUGCUUUCUUCAUGGUGGAUCGCAGCCAACCUAGGACCCAAACAAGACACGUGGGUGGGGUGGGCAGUGGGAGUGGGGUGUCAUUUGCCUUCCGCAGACCAGGGGCUGUUUUCACAGUGGGGCAUAUCCCAGCGUCUAAGAGUGCGUCUGGGCUAGCCCUUUCUCUUGGGGAAGGAAGGAGGGGCUGUAUUCUUCUGCCUGGGGGCUCACUCACUGUGUCCUUGGGGCUCUGACCACUCAAUCCUCCAGGGAAGGUGGAUGGAACAAAGAAAGGGGAGGAGGGAGGGUCAGCAAUUUCCCCCUUUCCCACUCGUCCCUCUGGGUCCGAAGCAUCUUCCCCACAAAGCUUCCCCCCACCCUGACCUCCCCCGCUGCAGCCACCCCUCCUGGUGCUCACCUGUGUUUACCCCAGCAGGGGGCUCUCCUGGGUUUCAUGGCAGCUGAAAUUUCUAUACAUUGGGGGAGAUCUUCUUUAAGAAAAAGAAUCCAAAUUAUGAAUGUAGAAUUAGGUAUAAAACCGCAUAUUUAAUAAGAAGGAUUGAAUAAAUUGCAAAAAUUACAAACUUUUACAAGCUGGCAAAUACUACACAUGUUUACAUUAAAUAACUCCCACCUUUAUAUUUGAUUCCUACAUGUUUUGACUAUAUAUUCUUUUUUAAAGGUUAUUUAUUUAUUUUGAGAGAAAGAGAGAGAGGACACAUGCAGGGG